rnacentral:rRNA from 1 species
AACCACUUUCAACGGGCCGCGGGUAUCCUAACCGUGCAAAGGUAGCAUAAUCACUUGCCUCUUAAAUAGGGGCUUGUAUGAACGGCUGACCGAGGGUGAAACUGUCUCCUCCGGCCCGUCAAUGAAACUGAUCUCCUAGUACAAAAGCUAGGAUACACCCACAAGACGAGAAGACCCUGUGGAACUUCAAGCACAGCUACUGCCCCAUGCCCCCACACAGCCCCCGGGCCACAAAACAACACCAACAGUACAAGCUUUAAGUUGGGGCAACUACGGAGCCAAACAAAACCUCCACGUUCUAGGACUAGCCCCCCCCGCCCAAGGAGCACACUCCCCGGGCCCCCACUCCCGACCCAGUAUUACUGACCAUCGAACCAAGCUACCCCAGGGAUAACAGCGCCAUCCUCUUUUAGAGUCCAUAUCGACAAGAGGGCUUACGACCUCGAUGUUGGAUCAGGGCCCCCCAGUGGCGCAGCAGCUACUAAAGGUCCGUUUGUUCAACGGCUAACGCCCUACGUGAUCUGAGUCAAAAACCGG